GGACAGGUGGCCGAGUGGUUGAAGGCACCGGUCUCGAAAACCGGCAUACCUGCAAGGGUAUCGAGAGUUCGAAUCUCUCCCUGUCCG
rnacentral:tRNA from 1 species